rnacentral:tRNA from 1 species
GGUAAUAUGGCCGAUAUAAGGUGAUAAAUUGUAAAUUUAUUUAUGAAACUUACGUUUCUUUUACCA